UCCCUGAUAGCUCAACGGCAGAGCAGUCGACUGUUAAUCGACAGGUUCUUGGUUCGAAUCCAAGUCAGGGAGCCU
rnacentral:tRNA from 1 species